rnacentral:pre_miRNA from 2 species
UCUGAGUGGAAUGUUGUCUGGUUCAAGGUCUUGCCUGUGAUUUGAGGAUGAAUCUCUUGUGUAGUUUUCAUUCCUCGGAUCUGCGGGAUCUCGGACCAGGCUUCAUUCCCCUCAGA